rnacentral:rRNA from 1 species
UUGACGGGGGCCCGCACAAGCGGUGGAGCAUGUGGUUUAAUUCGACGCAACGCGAAGAACCUUACCAGCCCUUGACAUGGGAAGUAUGGGCCGCAGAGACGCGGUCCUUCAGUUCGGCUGGCUUCCACACAGGUGCUGCAUGGCUGUCGUCAGCUCGUGUCGUGAGAUGUUGGGUUAAGUCCCGCAACGAGCGCAACCCUCGUCUCCAGUUGCCAUCGGGUAAAGCCGGGCACUUUGGAGAAACUGCCGGUGACAAGCCGGAGGAAGGUGGGGAUGACGUCAAGUCCUCAUGGCCCUUACGGGCUGGGCUACACACGUGCUACAAUGGCGGUGACAGUGGGCAGCAACUCAGCAAUGGGGAGCUAAUCUCAAAAAGCCGUCUCAGUUCGGAUUGGGGUCUGCAACUCGACCCCAUGAAGUCGGAAUCGCUAGUAAUCGCGGAUCAGCACGCCGCGGUGAAUACGUUCCCGGGCCUU